rnacentral:rRNA from 1 species
CAUUGCCUACGGGGCGCAGCAGUGGGGAAUAUUGGGCAAUGGAGGCAACUCUUACCCAGCAAUGCCGCGUGAAUGAAGAAGGUCUUCGGAUUGUAAAGUUCUUUAAUUGGGGACGAAAAAAAUGACGGUACCUAACGAAUAAGCACCGGCUAACUCCGUGCCGGCAGCCGCGGUAAUACGGAGGGUGCAAGCGUUACUCGGAAUCACUGGGCGUAAAGAGUGCGUAGGCGGGGUAAUAAGUCAGAUGUGAAAUCCUGUAGCUUAACUACAGAAAUGCUUUUGAAACUGUUACUCUGGAGUGUGGG